rnacentral:SRP_RNA from 1 species
CCGUGCUAAGUGGGGAGUUAGCGGUGCCUUGUACCCGCAAUCCGCUAUAGCGGGACUGAAUUCCCUCCGGAGGCAUUGGCUAUAAGAAUGAAAUUUUGAUAAGUGACGUUGAAGGUUGGGUCCUGUGCGACGGUAGCUUGUGAACCCCGUCAGGUCCGGAAGGAAGCAGCGGUAAGCAAGAACUACCGGGUGCCGCAGGUUCACCUAACUGGAGUUAACUGUCGAGAUUUCACUUGUAGCUUAAUGUCGAAGGCGGGUGCACGG